rnacentral:rRNA from 1 species
UUAAGCAUAUCAAUAAGCGGAGGAAAAGAAACCAACAGGGAUUGCCCCAGUAACGGCGAGUGAAGCGGCAACAGCUCAAAUUUGAAAUCUGGCUCUCGGGCCCGAAUUGUAAUUUGUAGAGGAUGCUUUUGGCAAGGUUCCUUCUGAGUUCCCUGGAACGGGACGCCGGAGAGGGUGAGAGCCCCGUACGGUCGGAUACCACGCCUCUGUAAAGCUCCUUCGACGAGUCGAGUAGUUUGGGAAUGCUGCUCAAAAUGGGAGGUAAAUUUCUUCUAAAGCUAAAUACCGGCCAGAGACCGAUAGCGCACAAGUAGAGUGAUCGAAAGAUGAAAAGCACUUUGAAAAGAGGGUUAAAUAGCACGUGAAAUUGUUGAAAGGGAAGCGCUUGUGACCAGACUUGCGCCUGGUAAAUCAUCUAGCGUUCUCGCUAGUGCACUUUGCCGGCUCAGGCCAGCAUCAGUUUGCCGUCGGGGACAAAAGCUUUAGGAACGUAGCUCUCUUCGGGGAGUGUUAUAGCCUGUUGCAUAAUACCCUUCGGUGGACUGAGGUUCGCGCUCCGCAAGGAUGCUGGCAUAAUGGUCAUCAGCGACCCGUCUUGAAACACGGACCAAGGAGUCAACCUUAUGUGCGAGUGUUUGGGUGUUAAACCCCUACGCGUAAUGAAAGUGAACGCAGGUGAGAGCUUCGGCGCAUCAUCGACCGAUCCUGAUGUUCUCGGAUGGAUUUGAGUAAGAGCAUAUAGGGUUGGACCCGAAAGAAGGUGAACUAUGCGUGUAUAGGGUGAAGCCAGAGGAAACUCUGGUGGAGGCUCGCAGCGGUUCUGACGUGCAAAUCGAUCGUCAAAUAUGCGCAUGGGGGCGAAAGACUAAUCGAACCUUCUAGUAGCUGGUUUCCGCCGAAGUU